CACACACACACACACACUUCCUCAUUCACACGUCUUGCUCUCAUGGCAGCAUCAAGGAAAUAUGCAUACAUGAUGAAACCGACAGUGAUCAUCUUCGAGUUUGACAUUCGAUAAUAUAUGGAUAAUAAAUCAUGAGUGGUUAGUCUUGAUUGGCAGCGCUGUAGAAUCAGCUCACGAUCCGAACAGAGUCAUCAAUAAUGCGCGGGACUCGAGGAAGCGGCCAAAACCUGCGUUUCUCAAAAGCAUUGUAAGCUUAAAUAGAUUAGUAUCCCAGCAAACAUUUGGACGUGUAAUGACCGUUGAAAAGACGUCCCUCCGACACGUCCCGUCAUGGUUGAAGAAUAUAUCCAAAAUGAAAAUUGAACCGACGUCUUUGACGUCUUCUGUCCAUGAAUUACACGUGUUUUCUGCGUCCCUGGACGUCUACAUGUGUCAUCUUCUGGAUGUUUAUAAGAUGUGUUGCUGCAUAAUUUCAGUAUAAGCCUGCAUAUAAAAUAAUCACACACCCACUGUGCAACAUCAUGAAAGGCACAUCUGAAUUUGACCAAUGUUCUGAAAAGGUCCAGCAUCGGUCCAGUCAGACCUGAACGUCUAUAAAACGUUUUAAUCACGUGUAGCACAAACAAUAACACAUUUGUGGACUAAAGCAAAAAGAAGAGCCUUCUAAUUUAGCACGUAUUUUAUUGUGACUACUACAUUUAAAAAAUAUAUAUUCCAUUUGUUAAACAGCUACUAUUCAAACAAGAAAAUAAAAAUAGUAGAAUGUGGUUAAGUCUGAGUCUAUGGCAUUUUCUCUAACAUUUUUACAUUAAUGCUAAGCAGCCAUUAAUCAAA